rfam:Schistosoma margrebowiei strain Zambia genome assembly, scaffold: SMRZ_contig0002024
AUCCAGCUGAUGAGUCCCAAAUAGGACGAAACGCGCAUCCUGGAU